AUACGAAGGGGGCAAGCGUUGUUCGGAAUAACUGGGCGUAAAGCGCACGUAGGCGGAAUGUUAAGUUAGAGGUGAAAUCCCAGGGCUCAACCCUGGAACUGCCUUUAAUACUGGCAAUCUCGAGACCGAGAGAGGUGAGUGGAAUUCCGAGUGUAGAGGUGAAAUUCGUAGAUAUUCGGAGGAACACCAGUGGCGAAGGCGGCUCACUGGCUCGGUACUGACGCUGAGGUGCGAAAGCGUGGGGAGCAAACAGGAUUAGAAACCCUAGUAGUCC
rnacentral:rRNA from 1 species